GAUGAACGCUGGCGGCGUGCUUAACACAUGCAAGUCGAACGAAGCACCUUGAUUUGAUUCUUCGGAUGAAGAUCUUGGUGACUGAGUGGCGGACGGGUGAGUAACGCGUGGGUAACCUGCCUCAUACAGGGGGAUAACAGUUAGAAAUGACUGCUAAUACCGCAUAAGACCACAGUACCGCAUGGUACAGGGGUAAAAACUCCGGUGGUAUGAGAUGGACCCGCGUCUGAUUAGGUAGUUGGGGGGGUAACGGCCUACCAAGCCGACGAUCGGUGGCCGGCCUGAGGGGGUGAGCGCCCACGUUGGGACUGAGACACGGGGCAAAGUCCUACGGUGGGCAGCAGUGCGGAAUAUUGCACAGUGGGGGAAACCCUGAUGUAGCGACGCCGCGUGAGCGAUGAAGUAUUUCGGUAUGUAAAGCCCUAUCAGCAGGGAAGAAGAUGACGGUACCUGACUAAGAAGCACCGGCUAAAUACGUGCCAGCCGCCGCGGUAA
rnacentral:rRNA from 1 species